GGCGAACGCUGGCGGCGUGCUUAACACAUGCAAGUCGAACGGAAAGGCCUCUUUCGGGGGGUACUCGAGUGGCGAACGGGUGAGUAACACGUGAGUAACCUGCCCUUGACUUUGGGAUAACUUCAGGAAACUGGGGCUAAUACCGGAUAGGAGCUCCUGCUGCAUGGUGGGGGUUGGAAAGUUUCGGCGGUUGGGGAUGGACUCGCGGCUUAUCAGCUUGUUGGUGGGGUAGUGGCUUACCAAGGCUUUGACGGGUAGCCGGCCCGAGAGGGUGACCGGCCACAUUGGGACUGAGAUACGGCCCAGACUCCUACGGGAGGCAGCAGUGGGGAAUAUUGCACAAUGGGUGGAAGCCUGAUGCAGCAACGCCGUGUGCGGGAUGACGGCCUUCGGGUUGUAAACCGCUUUCGCUCAUGACGAAGCUUUGUGUGACGGUAGUGGGUAAAGAAGCACCGGCUAACUACGUG
rnacentral:rRNA from 1 species